CGUUAUUGUGAGGCUCGACAAUCCUUAUUCGAGUGGAUAACGCAGAUUAAUGACAAUAAUCUUGAAGUGUUAACGGUUGAGAAUUGUCCAUCCCUCACAUGCUUGAUAUCGUGCAGAGGUGUGGGGCUACCACCCACACUCAAACACCUUGAGAUUGAGAAGUGUAAAAAGUUUGAGGCACUGCUAGUAGAGGAGGGGAUGGAAAUUAACUGUCCAUCUCUUUAGUCUGUUCGGAUCUGGUGUUGUCAUAUGCUGAAAUACUUGCCCGAUGCCCUUCCUAAUAAUAAUAAUCUCAGGAAUCUCAGUUGAUUGAUCUUGCAUGAGUGUAAGAAUUUGGAGUACAUUCCGGAAGGAUGGUUCCACUCCGCAACAAAUCUGAGAGAAUUGAAUAUCAGGGGAUGCAAAAAACUGAACGCCCUACCACACGGAUCGCAGAGCAUGAACAUCAACUGCCUCACUUCUCUUCAGGAGCUGUAUUUGAAUAUUUCGGAAUGGAACAACUUCAAGAAGAUUGAUUUGCACAGUUUAUCCUCUCUUAAAAUCUUGUUGAUUGAAGGCAAAGACGAAGAACAUCCGGUGGGUUCCAGCUUUCCGAUAGAUGGGAUGUUGCUGCCCACCUCUCUGAUCGAUCUUCGCAUCUCGGGUUUCCAAAAUCUCCUAAGUUGUUUCAAAACCUCUCCCCUCUUGAAUUUCUUAAAAUCGGUGGUUGCCCUAUGCUCAAAUCUUUACCAGUGCGAAGGCUGCCUCCCUCACUUAAGAGAUUGUGGAUCAUCGGGGGAAGUCAGAAACUAACAGGGAAGUGUGAAAAGAAGAAAGGCAAAUAUUGGCCCCACUUAGCCCACAUUCCUUGUGUCGAGUUGAUGGUUGAUGAUUGAUGAUUCCCACCGCAAUACAAGCAAUCAAAUUGCCAGAUAUGUGCUUUCAAGGAUUUGAAUACAAAGAGAGGCAUAUUCCGAUAGAUUUCCUUGCCUGCUUUUAUUUCCUGAAGGAACCACAACAAAUGGAAGAGUUCUCAUUUCUUUCUAACUUGGUGUAUUUGUCCCUGGAUAUCCUGUCCAUCUAGUGAUUGUUCGCUAUCCCCAUGUACACUUUUGACCAAUCUUGGGGAAAUAUAGCUUUGGGAAAGCUCAUGUUAGAAUGUUCAAAGUUUCACAAUUUCAUAGAGGUAGAGUAUCAUCCAGUUAUCUUACCCCUUCAAAAUCAGUAGGAAAAUGCUGCCCAUUUUGCUUAGAGGAACAACAUAUCUCUAGUCUGGUCUUGGAUUGAAUCCUGGAUUGCUGAGUCUUGCUUGGUUACACUAACUGUACAAACAUUUCACUCCUAUGGGGACAUCAUGCUGCUUGCAAAAGCUUCUGAGUCCAAACAGGAAAAUCCCUUACUAUAUACUGUUGAAAUGGCAAAUGUGGAAUCGACAUUCGAUUUAAGCAGAGGCUGUGGACUUUUUGGAUACAUUUCUAUCCAUGAAUCCAAAUUCCAGGUAUGACGACAAGAAAUUUUAAUUUUAGUGAUAUUUCUGCAACACAAUAACUAUCAUGUAUGGCUACAUUUUCCUGUAAGGAGCUAUUUAUAAUAUACUUCUGAUCAAAACUUCUUGAGUUGUUCAUCUGGAACUUCAUGCCACCUUACCUGUAUGCAAGUCCCUAAAUGUGAUCAAUUUUCCUUCAUUCUGUCGCUUAAGAUUAUUGCACAGGGUAUUUGAAUCAUGGAUGAGUAAUCCGCUUGCUUUUUUAUAUUUUAUUUUAUCCUUCAUUUCGUGUGUUCCUUCUGUUCUGUUUCUUUUUCCUUUCUUUCGCUUGUAGAUGUGAUUUUUAUUUGAGUUUAUUAAAAAGUAUAUUUUCAUUGAACUAAAGCUGCAUCCAUGCCAAUGAUGCAAAUGAGGGAUUUUUUGGUGGCUAAAUCAAAUUAUUCUUGAUAUUCCAUUAUUUGAUUUAAAAGCAUAUGUUAUUGCUUCUUCCCAUUUUUCUCAGAUAUAUCAAAUCCUUGGUAGGGUUAUAAUUAACGUUGAUCAUGAGUAUUUCUGUGAAUAGAUAUUUUUACCCUCAUCAGUAUGUUAUGUAUUAGUUGUGCACUGGAUAAUCCUACUGUUGCACUGAAAUUCAUUAAUCAUUAUCAUAUCAGGCUUUUCUUUUCUUUAUUUUUUCUUUUACGCAUAAUUUUAAAACAUGUGAGCUCAAUUUUCUUCCAACAACUGGGUUUCAAAAUUGACACUUUUUUUUAUAUUGUGAUUUGUGACUAUUAUAACAUACUGUAGUGCUUCACUAAACUGAAGAUGUACACCAUGUGCUUCAAUAGCGCUUAAGUUGUCGCAGAUUUCACUGAGUCGGUGAAGGUUAGAGUUGCUUUAUGGGCAAAAUCUAAUUUAAAAGAAUUGAAGUAUUCAGUUCAUGACAUAGUAACUAAUCUGAAGCAGGUAUGCUUUUGUGUAUAGAUGGAAGUCAAUCUAGUUGCUGCUGCAGAAUUGAGGUGUAUUGUCUGUCAGUUGCAGCUUCAGAGUUGCUGCUAGAUGUAGAAGCUGUGAAUAAGUUGCUGAUAGAUUGAUGCUAGUUAGAUUUUGGGUGCUACUAGAUUAAAGCUGUUUUACCCUGGGUGUAUAGAACUGUUAUGCCCUGGUUUUGUUCUGUUUAGUCUCCUGUUUUUCCUGCUUCUCUGUUUUUUCAGUUUCUUGGAUCAGAUUCAAGACUGCAGUUGAGAGAUAUUAGCUGGUUUAUUACCUGGGUCUGCCACCACCAAAUUUAGAAGACUUAUGCAAGGCUGUCAAAGUUCAAUAUUGUAUUAAGCAGGGGAGAUGAGCAUAGCCCUGUCUUGCUGCCUGCACUGGAAUCUAGACAAUUGGAUGUGGGUGCUCUACUGUGUAUUGUGUUUUGUGGUGUGUAAGUUAGAAUUGCUCUUGGGUUAAGCCAAAUAUUAAAGGAAUGAAUUACUCAGUGCUGUUUGCUGCUGCUGUAUACUGGUCUAUGGUUGCAAACCUGCAUGCUGUUGUUUUGGUCUGCUGUUGUGUGCUGCUGUCCUAAGGCAUAUUGCUAUGUGCAGAAUGCUGCUGCUGGUGUCUGCUGCUGCUGGUUGUUACUGGUUGAUAAGCAGCUGGUUGAUAAGCCUGUGAGUUAAUUAAAUUAAUUAAGAUUAGAGUUGCACUAAGUGUAAUAUUGGACAGUUGCUGGUGUUUUGGCUGGAAGGGUAUGGAGAGGGUAUAUUUUAUGUUGCUCAUCUGAUAGAGUGCAUAGGGCAGCAGGGGGAAGUUUAUCUAGUUUGUUCUGCAGGUAGUCAAUUUGGUUCAUAGUUGAUGCUACUGCUGAUGUUGCAAUUCUUGGUGCUGGUGGAGCUGGCAGCCUCACCAACUUGUGGGUUUAGUGCUAGCAGAUGAUUGUGUUUCCUCCUUGGUGCCAACCUAGUUGGGAUUGUGGAGUGUUAGUUAUGAUUCUUUUUGCACUUCUCUCCUUUAUUGAUGUAUAUUGAUGCUUGUUUUUGCUCAUCUCAUCAAUAGAGUUUCAUUUUUCUUUGCUGAUCAAAAAAAAAAAUAGUGCUGAAGUUGGUGGUGAUGCAAGAUUUGUUUAUCUCACUGUUUGCAUCCUGCUCAUAGCGGACAGGUUAGAAUCCACGAUUUCUUCAGGGUUCUGAGAUUGAAUCAUAAACUAUGCGAUUUGCUAUGUAAUAGUACUCUUAUUUGUUGUUGUGUAUCUAUUUUCUUAUGAUUUGAUGAGUCA